GGGAGAGAGAGAGAGAGAGAGAGAGAGAGAGAGAGAGAGAGAGAGAGAGAGAGAGAGAGAGAGAAAGCAAAAAAAGAGGAAGGUGCUUAGAAGAGGCAGGGAUGCCCGGUGAAAAGCAGAGAGUCGGGGAUCCGGCUUAACCCAGGCAUUUGGGAAGGGGGGCUGGAGGUGGAACACGACUCAACGGACCGCAGCCGCUCUGGCUAGGGCGGUAGAGCGCCAGGGUGAGAGGGUGAGGAUGCCCUGCGGGCUUCCGCACUACUCUGACACCAAACAGAAUGGCUAGGCUCCGGUGGUGAAGUAAAAGUUCCCGGUGGCGUGAAGGCGGUGGAUAGCCACCUUGCCCGUGCACGGAGGCUGUCUGGGGAAGCGGCCUCGAGGGCUGGAUGGACUGGGUGGAAGCCCUCGCAGGGGGUCCUACGGCUCUAGCUUUUGUACCGCCCCGCCUAGGCCAGUCCGGAGCUGACGCACCAGCUCCCCAGAGACGCUGGGGGCGUCGCACUGCAGCUGGGUGGGGAGCAAUUUAUUCCUGGCGGUCACAUCCCACCCCAUCUUCUGUUACUCCACCCUACCCUCCCAUCCCUCCACCUCUUCCUCCUCCUUUUCUACCAACGCCCGCACUAUCUUCUGGUUCUUCUCCUCCUCACCCUCCACUCCCCCUCUCUCCCUUCUUUUCUUUUCUCCCUUCCCCUCCCCCUCUUCUGAAUAACCAAGCUGUUUUGCCUCCGAAAGGGGAGAGAGAGAGAGAGAGAGAGAGAGAGAGAGAGAGAGAGAGAGAGAGAGAGAGAGAGAGGGGCCUGCGGUGACUGGAAGACAGGAGGGAAUCUGGAUCUGGUACAUCUGGGAAGUGGAAACUUGAUGCUUCUGGGCGGUGAUUUGCCAAGGCCUCGCCAAAGGCUGGAGCCAGCGUCCACCAUCCACCUCGGCACCCUAGCGGCGGAACAGGACUCAUUUGUUUGGUGCCGAGCGGUGAGGAUCUGGAAGAGACUGGAGUGUAGUUAGGUCGGGCCCCCUGCCAUCCAUUACACCUGCGGCAGAUGGCUCAAGUGGGAGAAUGGUUUUGUAUGCCAGAAUCAAGAAAGGAAGAGGAGAAAAUUCAGCCUCGCCCUACUCAAAAGGAGUUCUGUAAAGGGCCAGAGAAAUGAAAGAAGCUAUCAGAGCUAACGAUGCUGCUUCCUCUCUUGAGUUAUCCUGGGCAGUUAAUGACGUGAUACCUGGUUCCAACAGAUAAUGAGACCGAUUUUGACAAAUGUAUUUUUGAUCAAAUGUUUUACACACACAUACACCACACACACACACACACACACCCCUUCAAGUAGAUGCACACAGGUGUUCUUGUAGUUCCAUGGAGCUGAAGGGAAAGCCACUCAAAAUUCAGGAAGCCUCCUCUCUUCCCAAGAGCUUCAUUCACCUCAGACUGCCAACUUACACACAUCAAGGCUCCCGCCCUAGACAACCAACUAUGGAUUUAAGCAGACUUCAAAUGUACCCAUCUCAUUUUCACAUAAUGUUUUCUGAUCAACAUUGCCACCCUUGUACCCGUUCCUUCGUGUUCUCAACACGAAGGGAAUGGGAUAAGCGAACCUCUCCUGGAGACACUAGACCAUGGACACAUGUGACAAAGGGCACAGACCCAAUCUAGGAGUUCAGUCUGUUUUCAUUUGUUUAAUUCUAUACUAAAGGGAGGGCUAUAUCAAGGGAGACCAAAACACACCAGGACUCCGUCUCCACCCUUCACACAAGUCAC
ensembl:lncRNA